GAUGAACGCUGGCGGCGUGCCCAAUACAUGCAAGUCGAGCGAACGGACGAGAAGCUUGCUUCUCUGAUGUUAGCGGCGGACGGGCGAGUAACACGUGGAUAACCUACCUAUAAGACUGGGAUAACUUCGGGAAACCGGAGCUAAUACCGGAUAAUAUUUUGAACCGCAUGGUUCAAAAGUGAAAGACGGUCUUGCUGUCACUUAUAGAUGGAUCCGCGCUGCAUUAGCUAGUUGGUAAGGUAACGGCUUACCAAGGCAACGAUGCAUAGCCGACCUGAGAGGGUGAUCGGCCACACUGGAACUGAGACACGGUCCAGACUCCUACGGGAGGCAGCAGUAGGGAAUCUUCCGCAAUGGGCGAAAGCCUGACGGAGCAACGCCGCGUGAGUGAUGAAGGUCUUCGGAUCGUAAAACUCUGUUAUUAGGGAAGAACAUAUGUGUAAGUAACUGUGCACAUCUUGACGGUACCUAAUCAGAAAGCCACGGCUAACUACGUG
rnacentral:rRNA from 1 species